AGAGUUUGAUCAUGGCUCAGAUUGAACGCUGGCGGAAUGCUUUACACAUGCAAGUCGAACGAUGAACCUUAGCUUGCUAAGGGGAUUAGUGGCGAACGGGUGAGUAAUAUAUCGGAACGUGCCUUGUAAUGGGGGAUAACUAGUCGAAAGAUUAGCUAAUACCGCAUACGCCCUGAGGGGGAAAGUAGGGGAUCUUCGGACCUUACGUUAUAAGAGCGGCCGAUAUCUGAUUAGCUAGUUGGUGGGGUAAUGGCCUACCAAGGCUUCGAUCAGUAGCUGGUCUGAGAGGACGACCAGCCACACUGGAACUGAGACACGGUCCAGACUCCUACGGGAGGCAGCAGUGGGGAAUUUUGGACAAUGGGCGCAAGCCUGAUCCAGCCAUUCCGCGUGAGUGAAGAAGGCCUUCGGGUUGUAAAGCUCUUUCGCAAGGGAAGAAAACUUACACAAUAACACUGUGUGAGGCUGACGGUACCUUGAUAAGAAGCACCGGCUAACUACGUGCCAGCAGCCGCGGUAAUACGUAGGGUGCGAGCGUUAAUCGGAAUUACUGGGCGUAAAGCGUGCGCAGGCGGUUUGGCAAGUCAGAUGUGAAAUCCCCGAGCUCAACUUGGGAACUGCGUUUGAAACUGCCAGACUAGAAUAUGUCAGAGGGGGGUAGAAUUCCACGUGUAGCAGUGAAAUGCGUAGAGAUGUGGAGGA
rnacentral:rRNA from 1 species